AACAGAAGACUUGGAAAUCCUCCUGAUCAAAACCAUGACUUUGAUCUGCGUCCUCAUCUGGACUCUCCUCUGCUUCACUCAGGGGUCUGAUGGACAACAUGUUGUGACUCAGCCAGCAGCCAGAUCAGUGCAGCUUGGUCAGACCGUCUCUGUGGACUGUAAAGUCAGUCCACCAGCAGCUAGUGAUUUUCGUUUGAAACACGAUCUGUCCUGGUACCAUCAGACACCUGGAGAAGCUCCUAAACUCCUGAUUUAUUCUACCACGAUUCGCAAGUCUGAAUAUCCAAAUCAAUUCAGUGGACGUGGAUCAGGGAAUGGAGCUGACUUCACUCUGACCAUCAGUGCAGUUCAGGCUGAAGAUGCAGGAGUUUAUUACUGUCAGAGUUACCACCUUGGCAAUGUGUUCACACAGUGAAAAAGCAUCGUACAAAAACCUCUUUCAGUCUGACUGAACAGAAACUGAUGCAGCUCACUGAACACAUUCAGGUUUUCAGGCCAUGAUGAAUUAAACUUUGUUCCUAAAUAAUCAGAAGUUUUAGAAAAAAAAUGGUUUCAAAUAUUACAAUAGAAAUUAUCUUUAGUGAUGAUUAU